rnacentral:rRNA from 1 species
GACGUAGGGCGCGAGCGUUGUCCGGAUUUAUUGGGCGUAAAGAGCUCGUAGGCGGCUUGUUGCGUCGACUGUGAAAACCUGCGGCUCAACCGUGUGGUCUGCAGUCGAUACGGGCAGGCUGGAGUUCGGUAGGGGAGACUGGAAUUCCUGGUGUAGCGGUGAAAUGCGCAGAUAUCAGGAGGAACACCGGUGGCGAAGGCGGGUCUCUGGGCCGAUACUGACGCUGAGGUGCGAAAGCCAGGGGAGCAAACGGG